GAGUUUGAUCAUGGCUCAGAUUGAACGCUGGCGGCAUGCCUUACACAUGCAAGUCGAACGGCAGCACGGGAGCUUGCUCCUGGUGGCGAGUGGCGAACGGGUGAGUAAUGCAUCGGAACGUAUCCUGGAGUGGGGGAUAACGUAGCGAAAGUUACGCUAAUACCGCAUAUUCUGUGAGCAGGAAAGCGGGGGACCUUCGGGCGUCGCGCUCUUGGAGCGGCCGAUGUCGGAUUAGCUAGUUGGUGAGGUAAAGGCUCACCAAGGCGACGAUCCGUAGCAGGUCUGAGAGGAUGAUCUGCCACACUGGAACUGAGACACGGUCCAGACUCCUACGGGAGGCAGCAGUGGGGAAUUUUGGACAAUGGGGGCAACCCUGAUCCAGCCAUGCCGCGUGAGUGAAGAAGGCCUUCGGUUGUAAG
rnacentral:rRNA from 1 species